rfam:Streptomyces sp. SCSIO 03032, complete genome.
CUUCACCGAGCCCAGCCACAGCGGCUCCUCGCGGUCCUUGCCGUAGGUGGCGAGCAGCGCCUGCGCCUC